rnacentral:rRNA from 1 species
AACGAACGCUGGCGGCAUGCCUAACACAUGCAAGUCGAACGAGACCUUCGGGUCUAGUGGCGCACGGGUGCGUAACGCGUGGGAACCUGCCCUUAGGUUCGGAAUAACUCCCCGAAAGGGGUGCUAAUACCGGAUAAUGUCUUCGGACCAAAGAUUUAUCGCCUUUGGAUGGGCCCGCGUUGGAUUAGCUAGUUGGUUGGGUAAAAGCCUACCAAGGCGACGAUCCAUAGCUGGUCUGAGAGGAUGAUCAGCCACACUGGGACUGAGACACGGCCCAGACUCCUACGGGAGGCAGCAGUGGGGAAUAUUGGACAAUGGGCGAAAGCCUGAUCCAGCAAUGCCGCGUGAGUGAUGAAGGCCUUAGGGUUGUAAAGCUCUUUUACCCGGGAUGAUAAUGACAGUACCGGGAGAAUAAGCUCCGGCUAACUCCGU